rnacentral:ncRNA from 2 species
ACAUACCUUCGGGGCAGGGUGAAAUUCCCGACCGGUGGUGAAAACCCACGAGCCUGUGUCUCACAGGCACGACCCGGUGCAAUUCCGGGGUCGACGGUACAGUCCGGAUGAAAGAAGGUAUUC